rnacentral:ncRNA from 1 species
GGCAUGAAAUCUAUUUCAAUAGAGCGUAUGAUAUCGAUGGCCCGAGGUAGAGCACUCAAUGGGCUAGGGUGGCCCCCAUUUCGCUUUACCAACCCCAGGGAAACUCCAAAUACAAGCCGUCAUCUUUAAUACAGACAGACUGAUUGGGUGCUAAGAUCCAAAGUCAAGAGGGAAACAGCCCAGAUCGUACGCUAAGGUCCCUAAGCAAUCACUUAGUGGAAAAGGAAGUGAUCGAGCGAUGACAACCAGGAGGUGGGCUUGGAAGCAGCCAUCCUUUGAAGAAAGCGUAAUAGCUCACUGGUCUAGCUCCAUGGCACCGAAAAUGUCUCAGGGCUCAAGUGAUUCACCGAAGCGAGACCUUGAAAGCAGCUUAACGGCAGCGCC